AGUUUUUAUGCUGGAACAAGCUUCCAGAAAACUGAAAAACUGCUGAAUAUUUGCUUAGAGCUGCCUUUGAAUAAUGUUAACUGGAACGUCAUCGAUUUUAUCUGCAUUCCAACUUUUCAUUACUUUCCUUAAAACACUUUGAAUUGCUGAGCAGCUGCUGGAUUCAGAGAAUUUGUCUUGCUUCCCAAAAGCGAUUAUCCAACUGAGCGUGAAGUCAGAGGGUUUUGUGUCAUUUUAAAGUUUCCUCUCUCUGUGCGCGUGUUUGUCAUUCUGAUCAUAUCAGGAAAUGUCCGUGUUUUUGAUGAGUCACCACAGAUACAGCAGCAGCAGCUAAGCUACGUUUGCAGAUAACAGCGGUUCUCUUCCAGAGGCCUGAGGCUCUGCCAACAAGACUUCCUCUCUGUGGCCUCAUCCUUACCGAUGCGACUUCACUUCGCUUCACGGCCGUGUUCACGUCCACACGCUGCAGGCUGCAUGAAGCCAGUCCUGCAAAGUGUGAACUAAACCUAAGACAGGGACUGAAAGGCUUCAUUGAGAGGCUGAUUUCAUUUUCAAACAAGACUUUCCUGCUGCCCACACUGACAAAAGUAGCAAUAGCUACUUUUACUGACCAACUGAGAUGGACUGGCUGUCAAACUGGACUAGCCCUAAGAAGAAACUAUGAGGUUUAGUUCAAGAGGAAAAUAAGAAACACCAGAAUCAACAAUCCUGACGAACUGAAGGCAACUAGAAGCAACCAACCUGGGCUUUCUCAGCUGAGCUACAGGCUGAUCACCUCCAUGAAAUCCAUGCAAAACAAGCCAAGAGCAAGAAUACGUGUCAGCCCUGACUACAGACUCCUCUGGGAAAUCAGCCCACUUCCUGUUGCAUCGGAGGCAGAGGAGGAGCAGCGAGUGGAGGGAGAAAUCGGGAGGAUACAAAGAGGCUGCUCUACAGUUAUUUAGUCAAGCUGCACUUUUCAUCCUUCCUGUCAUACCUGGUUCAGUUAGAUGCUCGGACAGCGCAUCUCGAAGCGACCCAGUGGAUCCAGACCGAGAAAAGCCGCCAGCAUCCUUAUCUCAUCCGCAGAGGAGCGCUGGGCAGAGGAGGACUGCGGCGGAACUUCUCCAAGGAUGAGCCGGAGUCCGGCGCGCACUCCGCCGCUGCGAAAUAAACACAAACCCCCUACAGUCCGAGGGACCAACACACAGUAGUUCAGGCUGACCAGCGAGGAGACAUCCGGGACCGGAGGUGCACGACCAGACGGGUCAGAGGACGGAGACGCUCCGGGACAAGCGCCUUUUUACGCGCAUGCAGCCUUUAAAGCUACGGGUUCACCUUCUGAUCUUCACGGGAAUCCAAAGAUAUAGAUGUAAAGAAAUAGACCCCCCCAAAAAAAUAACAAAUGCUGAAAACAUUGAGAUAAAAUAAACAUCCAACAAGUGAUGGACUUGGAGGCAAAAGCAGAGAGCACUGGUGGGAGGACAGGGAGGAAGGGGAAGGAGGAGAAGAGCCGCCCCGCGUCACGGACCUUCUCUCUCUCUUGCAAAAAGAAGGAAAAAAAAAACGUGAUCUCCUUUAUUACACAAGCUGCACUGUAAGGAUAUCUGCAAAAAUACAGCAGAAACAGUGGGACCAUGACGAGGGAAAUGACUUAAUUUGACCUUUUCAGCUGAGCUGACCUUAUUGUUGAGAAAAUAAGAAAACUCUGUUUACCUCGGUCUCCAAAAUGCUGCCUCACCCUGUAUUACUGUAACUUAAAAAAAUCUGAAACCCGCAUAAAAAGACAAGUUUAAAGAAUAAAGCAAAACCUCCCACUGUUCUUUAAUGGUAUUAGAACCCAAACAAGCGUCUCUUUAUGAACAUUUGUUCUCUGAAGUUAAUUCCCCAGAAAUUUCCCACCAGCCCCAACCUCAACAUCCAACAUGGCCGCCACACAAACUGCAUUACUAGCAGCUCUUUAUUUGCUCUCCUGAUUAAAUUGCCAAAUCAGUAUUAAACAGUAGAUUAUA